GCGACAGCGGGAUGGUCACGUACUGAAGUGAAUUCUGUCUUUCGUGCAGAUACCGUAUCACGCCCUUCCAGCGCGAUUACCGGCACGUGUAGGGCAUUCUGCCGCCGUGAGGAGGAGCUACCAUAGGCCUUGACUGAUCAAAGUCAUCAUUUGUGCUGAUCUGUGAACCCGUUGAGGGCAGCCUGACGACACCGAAAGGAGCUUCCUGCGGCCCUACUGUGUGACGCUCCUGCUCUGAAUUGCCACUUAUAAAGCUACCGUCCCCACCAAGGCUCCAUUGCAGCAGCGACAGCGGGAUGGUCACGUACUGAAGUGAAUUCUGUCUUUCGUGCAGAGUGCGUGCUUUGGACGCGAAGAGCCCUGAAGGAUUCUGUUCCACAGCCAUGCAUCGACCAAUUUGUGGACACUUGUGGCGCUGUGGUGCCUAAGCAUAGCCGAGAUCUAUGCAACGAUGGAGAAGGAGAUUACUAAAAUAAAUGGACCCCUAUUUUUCGAUUACCCCGCCGUCCAAAAAGUGAAGUACUAUAUUCGCGCAAAUUUUUAGUUAAUAAACAUAUUUUCUAAUCACC